UAGGGUUUGAUCAUGGCUCAGAUUGAACGCUGGCGGUAGGCUUAACACAUGCAAGUCGUGCGAGAAAGUAUCUUCGGAUAUGAGUAGAGCGGCGGACGGGUGAGUAACGCGUAGGAAUCUACCUAGUAGAAGGGGAUAGCCCGGGGAAACCCGGAUUAAUACCGUAUACCUCCUUCGGGGGAAAGAAGGCCUCUCUUUGAAGCUUUCGCUACUAGAUGAGCCUGCGUAAGAUUAGCUUGUUGGUGAGGUAAAGGCUCACCAAGGCGACGAUCUUUAGCUGGUCUGAGAGGACGAUCAGCCACAUUGGGACUGAGACACGGCCCAGACUCCUACGGGAGGCAGCAGUGGGGAAUAUUGGACAAUGGGCGCAAGCCUGAUCCAGCCAUACCGCGUGUGUGAAGAAGGCCUUCGGGUUGUAAAGCACUUUAAGCAGGGAGAAAAAGUUAUAAGUUAAUACCUUAUAACCCUGAUGUUACCUGCAGAAUAAGCACCGGCUAAUUCCGUGCCAGCAGCCGCGGUAAUACA
rnacentral:rRNA from 1 species